rnacentral:lncRNA from 1 species
CAUGGGGGGGCGAACAUUCGCGAGGCUGCCGAAAUGGGCAGGUAUGGUCGACGACACUUCGUCGUUAAGGAAAAGCCAUUCCACGGCGUGUUUCGCGGAAUUGCAUGUUAAUUGUUAUUUUCGUUAACCAUGUGUCUAGGAUCUUAACUUGGUAUGCUGAAUCACCCGUGUAUAGGUUGGUUCGGGAGGCGUGUCUACUCCUUUAAAGUACUGGUUUUAUGCGUUGUAUCUCGUACAUCAUAUGUGAAACGUGUAAGUUUGUUUCUCUCUUCCAAUUCUCCUCUACCAAUGAACCGUUACUAUAGAUGGCCAGCCGUGCCGGGCUAAUCGUGCCGGUCCGGAGCACGACACGACACGGCUGGUGUCGGGCCCGUGCCGGCACGGCCCAAUAGGUAGUGUCGUGCCUGCAGGGGCGAAUCUAGGGGGGUUUAUCGGGGUCAGGCGACCCCGAUAAAUUUUAUAAAUCCUUUAGCAAAAUACUGUUAAAGUUCAUAAAAAUUUGUAUGAUAUAGCAAAGCUGCUCUUGAUGACCCCGAUCAUAUUUUCGGCUAGAUUCGCCACUGCGUGCCUGGGCCGAGCAUCAGGCAUGCUGGCCGGCACGGGCACGGCACGAUUAGCCCCCAGGCACGGUUAGGCACGAUUAUGCAUGAUUAGAUCCAAACACACCUAGUUAGCUGUGUGUUGUAAUCUUUUUUCUUAUAUAGGGUUUUCUCAUAAGGGUGAGUUUUUACCUAAAUAGGUUUUUAAUGAGUCAGCCAUUGCACUAAACAGUUCAAUAUUAGCUAUUUUAGUAUGUUUUAACUGUGUUUGUGAAUAUUUGACUAAAAUUCUGUGGUGUAGUGCUAAACGGGCUAUAUGGGCUAAACGGGCUAUAUGGGCUAAACGGGCCGGCACGGCAAGGCUAAGCAGGCUUAGUGCCGUGCUUGGGCCUGGCCUUAGGCACUAGUGCCGUGCCGGCACGACACGACUAUUAAACGGGCCAAACGGGCCGUGCCCUAACCAUGUCGUGCCUAGUCGUGCCCGGGCCGGGCCGUGCCGUGCCGCCCAUUUGGCCAUCUCUAACUGUUACAUUACAUAUGACCCAUAAGAAACCAUCCCAGCACAACACGAUAGAAAGUCGCACCCAGCACCACGUACUACGUUAGCUGAAGGACAACGACGUUAAAAGUGGAUGACUCUCUGUUCUUCAGCUAACGUGGUGCUAGGUAAGAUAAAAGGUUGUACGUGCCCUUAUAUGGUUAUACCUUCCUCGACCUUUUGACUAAGAUAAAAGAGAGCCGGAGAGCCAAUGCACUCACCGGACAUGUCUGUUAUCUGGUAAUGCAUUAAAUUUCUCGCUCGACAUGAGUUAUUCACAGACAAAGACUUCUAGAUGGUUGGCUCUGGACUCAUCGGGCGUGUCCACUAGACGUUAUGUACUAUUAAUGGCUAGUUUUGAAACUAACAGUCAGAGUGUCACAUAUGGCUAGUUUUGAAACUAGUUGUUAGAGUAUCACCAAACAUGUUCGGUGCAGGUAGCAAGGUCACACCGAACAUGUCCAGUGUCCCAUAAAUAUUGAGUGGAGAGGCAACAAAUAAUCCUUUGUCUUAGGGCUAUACAUACCCCUCCAUCUCGUAUUUAGAGUCUCUCUUGCUUAUUUGUUGAAGUAAAAAAUAAUUUGAAAAACAAGGAGAAGUUCUUGUCUACUGAAGUGGUUAAUAUUUGAUAAGAUUAAGAAGCUUAUUAGUGAACAAAGAGUAAACUCAAGAUGUGAGCAGUUGUGGGUGAUUCACCGCAUUGGUGAUUCACCGCAUUGGAGUAACAAAAAAUAGCCUUUAGUGAAGACUUGUUCCUUUGUGGAUCAAGGAAAAGUAAUACCCUUACACAAGUGCUCUAACAAGAACCGGUGGAAAGUGUUGACUGUCCAAUACCUUAAAAACCAUCAAUGUACUUCUAUCCCUCUUUACUUUUAUGUAUUUACAUUUGUGCAAUUACAUUAAUGUCUUUACAUUCCUAGAAUUGCCACGCUAGUGUAGGAUUGAAAACUUAAGAGUGUAGAAUUUUAUGCAUAGUACAGAAAUCAAUGCUAGACAAAACAAAUGUAAUGGAAUAAAUGAUAGAUCUUAAUUAUUAAAAAAUAGAUCAGACCAAUUCAGUAUACUCUUGAAUAUUUUGAUUCUUUCAUAUUUCUCUAUCAGGUAUAGUUUAUACAACAAAAGAUUGAGCUUGUUGUAUUAGGUCUAUUCUUAUUAUGGUGUAGGUGAGGCAAUGUGAUAAGAGUUGAACAAGUACAAUAAUGUUUAAAUAUCGUAGGUUUCCAGUGUGGUGAAUUUUCUUACAGGUAAUGAACACGUGAUUAGCAAGCCACGAUGCGUCUAAAUAUUUGUAGCCUUGCUUAAAAUGUUCAUUUUCUUUCUUGGGGUUGUUUUUCACGCAAUGCAAAUAUUGGUUGGGUUUAUAAAGUAAGAACAACAAUGUUUUGUAUACUUUUUUUGGCAGCAAGAUUAUAUACACACACAUAAUUCUAAUCAGAAAGUCAUUUGUUUGCCAAAUGAAUCCGUGGUAUCUCAGUCCUAAGGAUAUUGAUGUUUUGUUUGCCAAAUGAACCCGUGAGCACACAUCUCACGUUGUUGGCAUUUUUUUUUUUGCCAAACGCGAGAUUUGUGCCCUUAUAUCAGUAUAUUUCCCAUUCGUUUAAAAAUAAACUUUAUUAGAACUACUUCUUAUAUACAUAGCCAAUACAAAUACUAGUCUUACUUUCUCAUUUCUCUUAUCCGCAAGUUGUGGAACUCUUAAAAUCUCUACAACGUCAACACAGGCCAGAUCAAACAUAAGGCUGCCUUCAACAACCUUCGCUAAAUUUCAUAUUCUAAAAAAAAAAUUGUGUUAUUCACAGUACACUCUAAAAGAUUUUAUUCUAUAUAUCUUUAUUAUCUCCAACAAUGUACUCUAAAUUGUAUCCUCUAUAUCCUAUGAAUUUCCGAGCACAUAUUGUUUUGACAAGAUUUUAACUGAUCCACAGUUUGCAAAUUGUUUUUAUUCAUAUUAAUUAAUAUAAUGUAGAAAUAAAGUGGGGUUUUUAGCGUGAACACUGAACACACACGUAUUGUUUUGACAAAAUUCGGAUGUUGUUGGAGGUGGUAGCGUGGACAUGGAACGCUAAAUUUCGCGUACAUGUUUUUUUAGCGGGUGUUUGUUGGAGUUGAUGUCGCAAGCUAGCCAGCUAGCUAGCUUCAGUCCAUAUCACGGCAUCACCCACCUGAUUUUUUAUACGAGUGACAGAUGAUCUGUCAUUGAGCUGUGAGCCUGUCGCUUUCGUAAAUUGACACGGGAAUUUCAAUUGUAGUAAUAUUCCUUUUCUUCUAAUGCGAGAAUCGUAUUAUUUCGUGUUAUGCCCGGCUGUGAUUGCUAAGCAUUCUGACGUUAGAAUCGGUCUAUAAUAAUAACACUUCGUACCGCUUCUGUGUGAAUUGUUUAGGCCUCGUUCGUUUGCACAGGAUUACAUCCUGAUUUAUUCCAGCUAAUCAAAACCUAUAUAAAUUAGAGAAACAAUUCAGAUAGGAAUUGUUCCAGGCCUCCAUUCCGUAGUAACCGAACGGCCCCUUAUGUGAAAAACACUCAAAUUUCGUUCACUUUUUCUUUAUCUACGCGGAAAAUCUAUCCUGAGUUGCUGCCUGCCCGGGCGCGUCUCCCCCCUGACAGCCUCCCGCCACCGACACCCACAUCU